CCUACGGGAGGCAGCAGUGGGGAAUAUUGCACAAUGGGCGAAAGCCUGAUGCAGCGACGCCGCGUGAGGGAUGACGGCCUUCGGGUUGUAAACCUCUUUCAGCUCCGACGAAGCGAAAGUGACGGUAGGGGCAGAAGAAGCACCGGCCAACUACGUGCCAGCAGCCGCGGUAAUACGUAGGGUGCAAGCGUUGUCCGGAAUUAUUGGGCGUAAAGAGCUCGUAGGCGGCUUGUCGCGUCGGCUGUGAAAACCUGGGGCUCAACUCCGGGCCUGCAGCCGAUACGGGCAAGCUAGAAUUCGGUAGGGGAGACUGGAAUUCCUGGUGUAGCGGUGAAAUGCGCAGAUAUCAGGAGGAACACCGGUGGCGAAGGCGGGUCUCUGGGCCGAAAUUGACGCUGAGGAGCGAAAGCGUGGGGAGCGAACAGGAUUAGAUACCCUUG
rnacentral:rRNA from 1 species